CCGCCCUCUGCCUCGCUCGGUCACAAUAUUGCAGUUUGUGAUCUUGAGCUGGAUGUUGUUCAAAUAGUUGGUUUCACUUAUGAAAUCAGAACAAACAAUGGGCUAUAUUGAUGUUAAAUCAUGUUCUUCUUUGAGUGCGCUUUCACCACGGCAUGCCAAUGGUGAAACUGUAAUUACAGAACUUGACAUUU
rnacentral:snoRNA from 1 species